GGCCCUGAUGAUAACGGUGUCUCUUCUUUCCUCGUCCGAUUCGACCAUGACGACAAGGGAUUUUAUCUCGUUCUCUUAAUGCGGAUGGUUUUGGAAAGGUAGAUAUUGCUUCGGUGAUGUUUGUCCAUUUUUUAAUCAUUUGCGUUUGCAAACGGGAACUUUUCUUGCCAGUGUUAUACAACACAUGCAGAUCUGAGCC
rnacentral:snoRNA from 1 species